GAAAUCAGCACCAUGAGCAUACAGUGGCUUGCAAAGUCAGGUGAAAGAGGAGAUAUUGUUUCAGUCCUCCACGUUUCUGAAAUGUGAACAGGAGUUGCAGAUCACUUUUCUUCUGCAAGGACCAAAACCCAGAUUCUAUGAUCAAAAAUCCUCUUUGGAUUUCAGCUAAUGAAUCCUUGGCUUCAUCAAAUCUAGAAAGGAGAAUUUGUCAUGGUUGGAAAAGGCCACGUAAGAACACAUGGAAGAAUGGAAAAUGAUGGAAAUUUAAAUGUCUGCCUUUACCCUCCUAUAAAACUCUUCUCAACUCAGCCAUUAUGGAUCACCUGUGGUCUUCUAUUUCAGACUUCAAGUGAGAUGAGCAAGGUUAAAUGCAGUGGAGAUCCAGAACCUGUCCCAAGAAAUUGAGUUCUGCAGAUUGGCAUGGAAUGGAGACUGCAUCCCACAGCAGGGGAUCUCAACACCUCUUGUUGAUUUAAACAUCUUGUCCACUUUCAUGGAGAACUGACUGUGGCUUCACAUCCUGCACAACCCAACUGCAGUGGGCUAAAAGCAAGGGACAGCCUGGGAGAAGGGAACAGCUUUCACAGAAGAGCUGGAAAAUAAGAGAGGCUGGUUGGUACAUGCUUUUUUCCACUGAUGCUGGCAGAUAAAUCACUGCCCUCUUGUAUCCCCACGGCAGGUGUGGAC
rnacentral:lncRNA from 1 species